CUUGGUCAUUUAGAGGAAGUAAAAGUCGUAACAAGGUUCCGUAGUGACCUGCGGAAGGAUCAUUAAUGAAUUUUGAAAGGGGUUGUAGCUGGCCGUCUCUUUGGGGCGGCAUGUGCACGCCCUGAUCACUAUCCAUCUCACACACCUGUGCACACACUGUAGGUUGGCUUGUGAUUGGAGCUUACAGUCUUCAUUGACUUUGCUCUGGUUGGAGGCCCUCCUAUGUAUUAUCACAAACUACUUCAGUUUAAAGAAUGUACUCUUGCGUCUAACGCAUUUAAAUACAACUUUCAGCAACGGAUCUCUUGGCUCUCGCAUCGAUGAAGAACGCAGCGAAAUGCGAUAAGUAAUGUGAAUUGCAGAAUUCAGUGAAUCAUCGAAUCUUUGAACGCACCUUGCGCUCCUUGGUAUUCCGAGGAGCAUGCCUGUUUGAGUGUCAUGGAAUUCUCAACUCUAUUUGCUUUUGUGAAUAGAGCUUGGAUUUGGAGGUUUAUUGCUGGUACUUGUGAUCGGCUCCUCUUGAAUGCAUUAGCUCGAACCUUUGCGGAUCAGCUAUCGGUGUGAUAAUUGUCUACGCCGUUGCAGUGAAGCAUAUCAAUGGGCUCGGCUUCCAAUCGUCCUUUACUGGACAAUGACUUUGACCUUUGACCUCAAAUCAGGUAGGAUUACCCGCUGAACUUAAGCAUAUCAAUAAGCGGAGGAAAAGAAACUAACAAGGAUUCCCCUAGUAACUGCGAGUGAAGCGGGAAAAGCUCAAAUUUAAAAUCUGGCGGUCUUUGGCCGUCCGAGUGUAGUCGAGAAGUGCUUUCCGCGCUGGACCGUGUACAAAGUCUCCUAAA
rnacentral:rRNA from 1 species